UACCAUUUGAUGCCAAGUGUACAAUCAAAACUGAAAUGAAAAUUGACAGCAGAAGUGUCAUGAUCUUGCUGAAAAUGCUGUGCUCUUCAUUGACCUCUGUUUAAUAAUGGCUUAUGAUAAAAAAAACUACCAGGAAUGCUUCAAGAUGGCAAUGGAGGGCAGUGUAAAAGACACUGAGAAAUCACAAUGUUUCAAACAUCUAGAAUAUGCCCAGAGUCAGUCUUCAAGAUACUCACCUUAAAGGUUCCAGUGUGAUUUAGGAGACUUUGUCAGAACAGUACAUUAUACCUACAUACACUGGAGAUACCAGACCCAACAGAUAACUACAGAUAUAUUUAAACAGAACCUGAAAUUAAUUGCAUAUCCCAAUACAACAUAAUACUUUAAACGGUUAAAUAGGCAGUGAGGCAUUUGUGUGUAAUCUUCAUUUAAUAUUUGAAAUUUCUUUUUCCUUUUUUUAAGUUUGAUUUUGCAUUUAAAAGCCAUUAGCAUUAGAUUUUUCAAAAAUAUGUAUUUUUAUACAGUUUCAACUGUGAUGUAUAUCCAGUUGUACAUGUUUCCUCUAAGGAUUAAAACACUUUUGAAUUAUAUAGGAAAAUUGAAAUGAUACAUUUAUUCAAACUUAUGAUAAAAUAUAAAACACACACUA